GGUUUCCGUAGGUGAACCUGCGGAAGGAUCAUCA
rnacentral:rRNA from 1 species